UACAGAGGGGGAAGCGUUGUUCGGAAUUACUGGGCGUAAAGGGCGCGUAGGCGGCCUGCUAAGUCGAACGUGAAAUCCCUGGGCUCAACCCAGGAACUGCGUCCGAUACUGGUUGGCUUGAAUCCGGGAGAGGGAUGUGGAAUUCCAGGUGUAGCGGUGAAAUGCGUAGAUAUCUGGAGGAACACCGGUGGCGAAGGCGGCCAACUGGACAGAUACUGACGCUGAGACACGAAAGCGUGGGGAGCAAACAGG
rnacentral:rRNA from 1 species